rnacentral:lncRNA from 1 species
GAAAUGUAAAAUCUGAAAUUUAUAAAAAUUGAAAGGGAGCUUACAUCAAUAGAUAUAAACAAUUCACCAAAGUUUCAUGGACAUUGGUGAAAGCCUUUUUGAGUUAUUGUCCGAAGUGUUGAAAAUCCCCCUUUUUUUAUAUGAAUAAAGCCCCAUAAAUCCAAAACUUAAAAUCUGAAAUUUAUAAAAAUUGAAAGGGAGCUUACAUCAAUAGAUAUA